CAAAGAAAAGAAAAGAAAAAGACUUUGGAUCCCAUCUCUCUCUCACGCGAAACACAUCUCGUUCCGCUGCAGCCCAAAGAAAUCUCUCUCUCCCAACCUCGUCCCGAUCCCCUUCCUCCAACCCACGGCCGCCGGUCUACUCCGGCGAUCCCCACCGCCCAGCUCUCCUUCCCGGCGUCGCCUCUUCCCGCUGCACCGUCUCCACGGGCUGGGUUCGCUCCUCGCCGCGUCAUGCCGGCCGUCACGCGCGAUUCGCGACCCACCAACCCUAGCAUUGCAGCCGGGCGGGCGUCGUCGUCGAUGCGGCGGUGGUCUUCACAGGCGCACGCCUCCUGGCCGUGCCCUUGUGCCGGACCCAAACCCUAGCUAGGGCUCCGCCACGGCUGCGCCUCCUCCCGGUUCAAGGACUUUGUGCAUCUUCUCCACGACGGAUCUGCAAGAGGAGGAGGAUGAACCUCUUCCCGGGAUGCCACGGAUGGAGCUCGCUCGUCAAGGCACACUACCCACCCAUGGAUCCAGGCGGAGGUGUUGGAGAUUCCAUUCCAUUCGAUUUGGCUGCUCCGUUCGUGUUCCUGCUGCAGCAUAUCAUAGAAAAACCUGGAUCCAGGAGGAGAUGCAGCCUCCAAAACCAAAACUUGGCCUCCAGGAACAACACUAUAUAUAGGCGACCGACCCCCUUCUCCAUUCAUUCUUCCUGCUCUGCUGCUUCUCACUUGUGAGAUCAACAUUCAUCCAUCUUGAUUUGUUCCUACCAACGGAUACAAGUCUUCUUUUUCUUCUUUGUUAAAAAUGGCACGAUUGGUUGAAUUAGAGUUGAAAACAUAAGGUACAUGUUACUGCUAGACUACAUUUCCAGUCAUACAUGCGCCGGUGGUGUCCAACAGUCUGGCUUGGGCCACAAUGGUUCCACAAGCCCAGCCGACGUGUAUUUUUUUUUUCCAGAUGCUUACAUAAUACUCCCUCUCUAAAGAAAUAUGAGAGCAUUUAGAUCACUA